CUAGAGCGCUUCCCUGUCGAUUGUGGCAGCGUUCCAGAGUGAUCUGGAAUGUAAAACCAGGCUAAUUCGGGGAAACCUUUAAGAUGGCAAUCCCGAGCUAAAGCUGCGUUCAGUUUAUGUGAACGUAGUAAAUGUGUAGAGACUAUAUACCUGGCUCCUAUUUUUAGGAUGAUGAGAUAGUCCAAACUUUUUGGAAACAAAAAG
rnacentral:ncRNA from 1 species